UCAUUCAUUCAUUCAUUCAUUCAUUUAUCCAUGCAUCCCGUCUGAUCUUGGAAGCUGAGCAGGGUUGGGCCUGGUUAGUACUUGGAUGGGAGACCACCUAGGAAGACCAGGUGCUAUAGGCA
rnacentral:rRNA from 1 species